GAAUGUGAGGGUGAUCUGUCACCCCACUGAUCGCCAGGGUUGAUUUGGCUGAUUUGGGUGGCUAGCACUUCCUCCCUCACCACUCCAUGUGCGUCCCUCCCAAGGCUAUGCACUUGUUGGGAGAGGGUGGCCUUCCCUGAAUAGAGACAAACCAGUCUUCAGUCAAGGGUAUACAAGUAGCUGCGCUCCCCUGCUAGAACCUCCAAACAAGUUUUCAAGAAGUGACAGUUCCUAAAACAUAUUUAAGAGAAAGAAUAGAGGGCUGAGGAGAUAGCAUACUGGUUCU
rnacentral:snRNA from 1 species